rnacentral:rRNA from 1 species
AAGUCGAACGGAGCUUAGAGAGCUUGCUUUUUAAGCUUAGUGGCGAACGGGUGAGUAACGCGUGAGUAACCUGCCCUAGAGUGGGGGACAACAGUUGGAAACGACUGCUAAUACCGCAUAAGCCCACGGUACCGCAUGGUACUGAGGGAAAAGGAUUUAUUCGCUUUAGGAUGGACUCGCGUCCAAUUAGCUAGUUGGUGAGGUAACGGCCCACCAAGGCGACGAUUGGUAGCCGGACUGAGAGGUUGAACGGCCACAUUGGGACUGAGACACGGCCCAGACUCCUACGGGAGGCAGCAGUGGGGGAUAUUGCACAAUGGGGGAAACCCUGAUGCAGCGACGCCGCGUGGAGGAAGAAGGUUUUCGGAUUGUAAACUCCUGUCGUUAGGGACGAUAAUGACGGUACCUAACAAGAAAGCACCGGCUAACUACGUGCCAGCAGCCGCGGUAAAACGUAGGGUGCAAGCGUUGUCCGGAAUUACUGGGUGUAAAGGGAGCGCAGGCGGGAAGACAAGUUGGAAGUGAAAACCAUGGGCUCAACCCAUGAAUUGCUUUCAAAACUGUUUUUCUUGAGUAGUGCAGAGGUAGAUGGAAUUCCCGGUGUAGCGGUGGAAUGCGUAGAUAUCGGGAGGAACACCAGUGGCGA